rnacentral:rRNA from 1 species
AACGAACGCUGGCGGCAGGCCUAACACAUGCAAGUCGAACGCCCUAGCAAUAGGGAGUGGCAGACGGGUGAGUAACACGUGGGAACCUUCCCUAUAGUACGGAAUAUACCAGGGAAACUUGGAGCAAUACCGUAUACGCCCGAGAGGGGAAAGGAUUAUCGCUAUAGGAUGGCCCGCGUAGGAUUAGCUAGUUGGUGAGGUAAUGGCUCACCAAGGCGACGAUCCUUAGCUGGUUUGAGAGAACGACCAGCCACACUGGGACUGAGACACGGCCCAGACUCCUACGGGAGGCAGCAGUGGGGAAGUAUUGGACAAUGGGCGGCAAGCCUGAUCCAGCCAUGCCGCGUGAGUGAUGAAGGCCUUAGGGUUGUAAAGCUCUUUUGCCGGGGACGAUAAUGACGGUACCCGGAGAAUAAGUCCCGGCUAACUUCGUGCCAGCAGCCGCAGUAAU